rnacentral:rRNA from 1 species
UACGUAGGGUGCAAGCGUUGUCCGGAAUUAUUGGGCGUAAAGAGCUCGUAGGUGGUUUGUCGCGUUGUUCGUGAAAACUCACAGCUCAACUGUGGGCGUGCGGGCGAUACGGGCAGACUAGAGUACUGCAGGGGAGACUGGAAUUCCUGGUGUAGCGGUGAAAUGCGCAGAUAUCAGGAGGAACACCGAUGGCGAAGGCAGGUCUCUGGGCCGAUACUGACGCUGAGGAGCGAAAGCGUGGGGAGCGAACAGG